CCCUUAGACGUUCUGGGCCGCACGCGCGCUACACUGACCAGUGCAACAAGCAUCCGUCCUUGGCCGACAGGCUCGGGCAAUCUUUGAACGCUGGUCGUGAUGGGGAUAGACUUUUGCAAUUUUUGGUCUUCAACGAGGAAUUCCUAGUAAACGCAAGUCAUCAACUUGCAUUGAUUACGUCCCUGCCCUUUGUACACACCGCCCGUCGCACCUACCGAUUGAAUGGUCCGGUGAAGCCUCCGGAUUGGCGCGCACCUCGGUGCCGCCGAGAAGUUGGCUAAACCUUACCAUUUAGAGGAAGGCGAAGUCGUANCA
rnacentral:rRNA from 1 species